UCAGCUUUGAGUCAAACACCAUGCUCCUUCUUUUGCUUACUACAAGCUAGCCUUCAACAUAAGCACUCUUCUAUCCGUUUGCAGCCACAUCUUGCUCUUAAUGUCUUCUUCUUAACCCAACUACUGUUUUUCAUUAAACCACAAUCUCAAUGAAUCUUCAGCAAAAUAACUUCUCUUUAGCAUUUCAUCAAGCAUCUGGUGUGCAUCCGUCAAACCAGGAACUUUCAACCAUAAAUCCCAUCUUUAUCGAACCCAAAACAAGCCUAUUCAAGCACCAUUCCAACUAACCUCUUAAUUCCAGACUUAGUCUAUGCUAGUCAUCAUCUGAACCAGCCAACAAAGCACCGAACCAGCAAUGUCCUAUCAAACUAUUACUACAAGGCAAUACUCUAUGUUCUGUUCUGUCUUAGAACAAAGAAAUUACCUUGGAUCGAGUACACGCUGGAUUUUCUGCCCAUGAUCUCUGAUUUUUUUUUUUUUUUUUUUUUUUUUUUUUUUUUUUUGAUGUGAUGUCACGGCUUCGCUCAAUGCUUCACCAAAUUUUCAAAACCCAUCUCUUUUCUUUGUUGUAUCUGGCAUUGAUACAAGCAAGCUCUGAGUAAGAUGACCAUAGUCUCCGACGCGUUACCACAACCCUGCUGACGUGAAGCUUUUGUGUGAUGUUUCUUUAGACCCACUUUGCUUGAAGCUCCAGGAAGAGGACGACAUGUUUUAGAGACGGAGACGAGUUGAUAAUCUCUGAGCGAGCUUGAACAUAAUUUCCAGAUCAUGAGAUGUCUGAUUUAGAUAGAAGCCGAAAAUAACUUCACUGUUUUAAACACAAAGGAUGGAGCUUGACUACGAUUUGGCUUCAACGGGUUCUCAGAAACGGCAGUGAAGUGACGACUUCAAAAAUCUGAAUGCUUUAGUGGGGAUAGAGUAAGCGGAAGCUAGAAGAGGAAAAGAGAUACUCCCAAUAAAUCGACUGAAGCUCUGCUACCAUGUGAAUAAACUGAAAACAAGAUAGAUUCUGCUCAUAAGAGUAAGAGGAAAAGAGAUACUCCCAAUAAAUCGACUGAAGCUCUGCUACCAUGUGAAUAAACUGAAAACAAGAUAGAUUCUGCUCACAAGAGCUUAUUGAGACAGAAAAUGAAAUAGCUUUAAGAAGCUUUAUUGUGCAAUGAAACUAAAGAAAGGAAGAAUCUUUAGGCUUGUCACCAAAAUAAGUAAGAUUGUAAAUGAUUCAUAAAUAUGAAAGGAGAGGCUGCAUUCAACGCAGCCAAAGUUACCGACACUAACCAUCUAACAACAUAUAUAUAGUCCUAAGGAAUCCUAGUUACAUGGUUAACAAACACUUCAUAUUGGAUCAUAAUAUGGGCCUUGGUGUGGG
rnacentral:lncRNA from 1 species